UACGUAGGUGGCAAGCGUUGUCCGGAAUUAUUGGGCGUAAAGCGCGCGCAGGCGGCCUCCUAAGUCCGAUGUGAAAGCCCACGGCUCAACCGUGGAGGGUCAUUGGAAACUGGGGGGACUUAGUGCAGGAGAGAAGAGUGGAAUUCCACGUGUAGCGGUGAAAUGCGUAGAGAUGUGGAGGAACACCAGUGGCGAAGGCGACUCUUUGGCCUGUAACUGACGCUGAGGCGCGAAAGCGUGGGGAGCAAACGGA
rnacentral:rRNA from 1 species